AGAGUUUGAUCCUGGCUCAGAUUGAACGCUGGCGGCAUGCCUAACACAUGCAAGUCGAACGGCAGCACAGCAGAGCUUGCUCUGUGGGUGGCGAGUGGCGGACGGGUGAGUAAUGCAUCGGGACCUACCUCAACGUGGGGGAUAACGUAGGGAAACUUACGCUAAUACCGCAUACGUCCUACGGGAGAAAGCAGGGGACCUUCGGGCCUUGCGCGGUGAGACGGACCGAUGUUCGAUUAGCUAGUUGGUGAGGUAAUGGCUCACCAAGGCGACGAUCGAUAGCUGGUCUGAGGGGAUGAUCAGCCACACUGGAACUGAGACACGGUCCAGACUCCUACGGGAGGCAGCAGUGGGGAAUAUUGGACAAUGGGCGCAAGCCUGAUCCAGCAAUGCCGCGUGUGUGAAGAAGGCCUUCGGGUUGUAAAGCACUUUUAUCGGGAGCGAAAUACCAUUGGCUAAUAACCAGUGGGGCUGACGGUACCCGAGGAAUAAGCACCGGCUAACUUCGUGCCAGCAGCCGCGGUAAUACGAAGGGUGCAAGCGUUAAUCGGAAUUACUGGGCGUAAAGGGUGCGUAGGCGGUUUGUUAAGUCUGUCGUGAAAUCCCCGGGCUCAACCUGGGAAUGGCGAUGGAUACUGGCAAGCUAGAGUGUGUCAGAGGAUGGUGGAAUUUCCGGUGUAGCGGUGAAAUGCGUAGAGAUCGGAAGGAACAUCAGUGGCGAAGGCGGCCAUCUGGGACAACACUGACGCUGAAGCACGAAAGCGUGGGGAGCAAACAGGAUUAGAUACCCUGGUAGUCC
rnacentral:rRNA from 1 species